UACGAAGGGGGCUAGCGUUGCUCGGAAUGACUGGGCGUAAAGGGCGCGUAGGCGGAUUGUACAGUCAGGCGUGAAAUUCCCGGGCUCAACCUGGGGGCUGCGCUUGAGACGUGCGAUCUUGAGUGGGGAAGAGGGUCGUGGAAUUCCCAGUGUAGAGGUGAAAUUCGUAGAUAUUGGGAAGAACACCCGUGGCUAAGGCGGCUCUCUAGUACGGUACUGACGCUGAGACGGCGAAAAGCGUGGGGAGCCGAACAGGA
rnacentral:rRNA from 1 species